rnacentral:rRNA from 1 species
CAGCAGCCGCGGGAAUACGGAGGAUCCAAGCGUUAUCCGGAUUUAUUGGGUUUAAAGGGUGCGUGGGCGGCCUAUUAAGUCAGGGGUGAAAGACGGUAGCUUAACUAUCGCAGUGCCUUUGAUACUGAUGGGCUUGAAUACACUUGAGGUAGGCGGAAUGUGACAAGUAGCGGUGAAAUGCAUAGAUAUGUCACAGAACACCAAUUGCGAAGGCAGCUUACUAAAGUGACAUUGACGCUGAGGCACGAAAGCGUGGGGAUCAAACAGGAUUAGAUACCCCCGUAGUCCCUGUCUCUUAUAC